AAAUAACAACGGCGAUAGCCACAACAUCGACAAUAACAAUAGAACCCGCAUAUUUAUAUUACCCCAACACUGCUGUAACACUUACACCACUAUUAUUACACUACGUACAACCUGGUCCUCACAGUACACUAUAACUACCAUAAAUAACCACAACCACAACCACCACAGCUGCCAGGGUCACUGCACAACAUAGGUCCUUAUUCAGAAACGCCUUGCUCUCCCACCACAACUAUUUUCCAAAUCAACAGAUAAUAAGCCUCGUUCUCAAAACUGUUUCUGCUGUUAAUCGGUUACUAGAACUAUAAAAAUCUGCAUAACUUCAACUAGAGUCUUUUGAAACUAGAGAAAGUGCAGCCCAGAACUGUUUCAGAAUAGCUCUAACAGUGAAUUUACACGCUCACUUUACGUUCACAACACGCCACGCCGGUACGCGCCCACUACUGCACGCCACCACCUCACACGGGACAAGCUCGGGGCCACUGGGAGGGAGCGCUGGAGCCGUGACAUGGGCGGUAGGAGGAAGAGGGAAAGAAGAGAUGGGUGCGCGCGCCUGGCAACCCCUCUUACCUGCUGUCUCUGCCAGGUCCUUAGAUCGAAUGUGCCGGGAAGCGUCGCUUACCGUUUCUAUCUAUGUGUGUGCAUGUGUGUGCGUUUAGAUAAUGGUACACGCGCAAGUCUGUUCAAGUGAGUGUAUACUUGCCAUAUUUUGCUGAGAAUGUAACUGGACAUCGCCGCUUUUCUGCUCCCCUAAAGAGGUGUGCAGCGGAUGGCGUGCCAGCACGUGUGACCCUAAGAGUGACCUCAGUCCUCACCAUGGCCACCCAGUACUCGCAGUCCACCAAGAAUUUGCCAUCAGGCAUUGUGUGUGGACUGGCAAUCUACAACUUCACCAUCACCAACCUGCCCUUCCCAAUUGCACUGUACAAGAAGUUACUGUGAGAGACUGUAGGCUUGGAUGACCUCACUGACCUUGACCCGCAGCUGACCAGGUCACUGCGAGAUCUGCUGGAGUACGAGGGAGGUGACGAGGAGGAAGUUUAUGGCCUCGACUUCACUUUGACCCAGGAUUACUUUGGGGAGUGCAAGAGUGUCCCCCUGAAGGCUGGAGGGAAGGAGAUGUCAGUCACACAGCAGAACAAUGUUGCCACGGUGACGGUGGUGGUGGGCAUGAUACAGAUGCGGGAGCUGGAGUUUGUGCCCGAUGGAGACAUGCAGCUGGACAAAUUCUGUUGCUCAUUGCUCAGACUGGAGUUUACAUGUAUACCUCCUUCACCAUCAUUGCUGGACACUUCACCAUGAGUGAUGCUUGAGCUGUCAUGGUGCUGCUGCUGUUGUCUGCCAUCAUCCCCCUGACACAGACCACCCUGCAGACCAUCUUCAUCCUGGGUGUCACACAUCGCUGCUGCUACAGCUCAGAGCAACUGGAGCGCAAGCCAGGAAGGGAGAUGGUAACUUCUCACUUAAUUUGUUGUUUAUUUGAGGGCCUAAUGACAAAGACAUAAUGGAAUAAGUAUAUGUGAAUGUUUGUUUAUAUCUAGAUACAGCAUUCACAUAUCUUUUAAGUGCCACCUUCCAAAAGCAAUGUCAGCCAGAAAAAUAACUGAUGAGAAUCUAAUUACAUUUCAAGUCAAAAAGUUUUCCUUUAACCACUUUGCUCCAGAUGCUUAAAAACAUGCGUUGCUCACAUACAUGGUGUCGCGUAGGCUCGUGAGUGGUAACUUAUCUAAUUUCUAAUAAUUUCUAAUAUAAUUUGUUUGUUUUUUUUGUUGUUUUUUUUUAUGUAGGAAGGACACUGGCCAAGGGCAACAAAAAUCACAAACAGGAAGUUUAUGCAAGUUUUUAUCCUUAUAUAAAAUGUUGCUAGUGUUAACAUAUAAAAUUGUAUUGCAUCAAACCUCCAUACAUUACUGUCUCUAUCCAGUAUGAGACUGGUGUUCAGGAAGCACAAGCAUGUGCUGAAUAACAAGAAGCCGGCAUUGGUGAAGGUGACAACAUUUCAUCUAUUUAUACAUACUUUUUAUUAUUAAAGCUUAUCUUAUAAUUAUUUCUGAAGAGAUUGACUAAUUUUUGUAGUAUUUAUGACUUAGAACUAUGAUAAAGCUAUGAAUUGAUAUAAUUCCUGAUUUGUUUUAUCUUUUCAUUAUCCUUCCUUUGUUAAUUGAGCAUUUUAUAUUACUUAGCUUAAAAAUACAAGAACGGUUCAGAAGUAUCCAACCUUGGGCUAAGGGCCAAAAUUAUGGUAUCAUUCAAAAUGUCCUUCAAAGAAAGCCCUUUGUAAUCCAACACACUAAGCCCAUUAAUCCUUCCAUUUCUCAUCAAUUUGUUCAACAUUCAUAUUUUUCCCUUAUAGGGUUGAACAAUUUUCAUGGGUUCAGAGCAAAAGGCUUCCUCAUUCCUCCCCAAGGUAUUCUCGGAUGGUAAGCAGGUUUGACUCUGGAGCAAACCUGACCAAGGGCUACUGCCCAAGGCUACAGAGGUUCCUCUCCCUGAGGCUGAAUGCACCAUGUGAGAUGGUUCUGUUAUGUGGAUGAAUGUCAUGGUGGAUAGCAGUGCCACCACAUUCCUACAAUCAUCUAUCACUCCACUGCUCAAAUGCUUCUGCAACCAAUGAUAGGUAUGCUGCCACAUUCUGCAUGGUCUCCUUGGCUCUCAGAUAAGGAUACUGUCAACAGGUUUGGGAUUGCCAAAAAAUCAUAAGGAGCUAUGUCUGAAAAGUCCAGAGAGAGAGAGAGAGAGAGAGAGAGAGAGAGAAAGAAUGAGCAAGAGAAAGAGUAGGAUGAAGCAAAGGAAGAGUCAAGAGGGAGGAAGAGAGAGUAGGACAAGAAAAAACAGAACAAAUAAAUCCCCUACACGUCUUGUCUCCAUUCACACAAGCCAUGAAAAGCUUGUCCAUCCCUGAGUGCUCAGAAGCAGUGCUCCACUGAUGAUGUGGAAACUUGAGACACCCAAUCAUUUAAUGGGCUUUAGUAGGUUUUGUCACCAGUCUUCUGUGUGUCACUGACUACAUUUUGAAAUUUUUAUCUGUUCUAUUUAAUUUUGUGUGUAUGUACACAAUGUUUAUGGUCAAUAAACUAUUUAUAAAACUAUUUAUCUGUGUGAGUAAGAUAAAAGCAGUUAUUGUUAUUAUUAUUAUUAUUAUUAUUAUUAUUAUUAUUAUUAUUAUUAUUAUUAUCAUUAUUAUUAUUAUUAUUAUUAUUAUUACACAUUUUCCUCCUUGUAUUUAAAUAUUAUUAUUAUUAUUAUUAUUAUUAUUAUUAUUAUUAUUAUUAUUAUUAUUAUUAUUAUUAUUAUCAUGAAUUGUUCUUGUUUAUAAAUAAAAUACUGUAACUGA